GUGAGUCAUCGAAUCUUUGAACGCACAUUGCACUCUCUGGUAUUCCGGAGAGUAUGCUUGUUUGAGUAUCUGUAAACAUCUCAAACCUCUCAGCGCUUGCGUUCGAGAGGAUUGGAUUUGAGCGAUCCCGACUCCUUCAUCAGAAAGAGGAGGGUCGCUUGAAAUGCAGAUGCAGCAGGACAUUCUUCUGAGCUAAAAGCAUAUUUAUUUAGUCCCGUCAAACGGAUUAUUACUUUUGCUUCAGCUAACAUAAAGGUCGAAUGAACCACUAUCGCUGAUUGCAGGAAAACAAUGUCCCUUAAAACAGGACUUUGUAAACUCGAUCUCAAAUCAAGUAAGACUACCCGCUGAACUUAA
rnacentral:rRNA from 1 species